GAGUUUCUUUAUGUGAUCAAAUCAGAAAUGAGGAGAUCCGCAAGAGAACCAGAGUAACCGGCAUACAUAACUCAACGGGUUGCGAAGUUGAAACGGCAAUGGGCAGGGCACAUAGUUCGAAAAAUCGAUAAACGUUGGGGUCCUAAGGUGCUGGCAUGGCAACCUCGCACCGGGAAGCGAAGCAUUGGAGGACCCUCCACUAGGUGGACAGGCGACGUCAAACGAGUCGCACGGAGCCGCUGGAUUCGGGUGGUGCAAGAUGGUGGCGUGUG